rnacentral:rRNA from 1 species
UACGUAGGGUGCGAGCGUUAAUCGGAAUUACUGGGCGUAAAGCGUGCGCAGGCGGUUCGUUGUGUCCGUCGUGAAAGCCCCGGGCUUAACCUGGGAACUGCGAUGGAAACUAGCGAGCUGGAGUGUGGCAGAGGGGGUGGAAUUCCGCGUGUAGCAGUGAAAUGCGUAGAGAUGCGGAGGAACACCGAUGGCGAAGGCAGCCCCCUGGGCUAACACUGACGCUCAGGCACGAAAGCGUGGGGGAGCAAACAGG